CUUACUUCACACAUCUCAUAAGAAUGUAAACCCUAGCCGCUCAUAUGAGGAAGACCAGAGAUUGAGAGAGAAGGAGGCAUCCGAAAGGGUUGCACCAAUUUCGAAGAGGUUAUCUUCAGUAUUUGUAUGAAUAUUGUAGUUGAGCCUUAUUUCUUCUUAUUCGUGCAAGAUAUUCAACAUCCCAAUUUCAUCAUAAUAUGACUUGGUAAACAAUGAAGAAAUUGCUCCAAAAAAAUUGUGCUCUAUUAUCAUAUAUUUGCAGUUAUGGACAACAUAAAAGCUUUGUGGAACACAUUCUUGUGAGGACUUCACCCGUAGCAUUACAAGUGACCACUUGCUUAACGGUGAAUUACAUAAAUAGAAAUUCACUGAGUAACCAGAGUGCAAAGACAUAAAGACAAAUAUAGAAAGUCAAACUCCAAUAAAGAUGUACUUCUUCUGAAUCCUUCUUUUGAUUUAUCAACAAUGCGUGCAAGAGUCUUCUUCUAGCUCCAGCUACAAUCACUUGUUAUCCAAAGCUAAUCCAGUCUUGAAAAUAUGAAGUUAAAGAUCAAACGGUGGAAAGAAAAACUUCAUAGAGAUAGAAAAUUUGCUGCAGUAAGAUACAGAUGAGCACGGCAAUUUGAUUUGAUCUUCUACUUUUACAAGUAUUUAAUUAUUAUCAUAAAAAGUCAACAAAAGUUAGUGGAGUGAAGAGAAAAUGUACAAAAAAAUAGUGAAUGUGCAAGUUACUAGCUUUAA